rnacentral:rRNA from 1 species
UACGUAGGAUGCAAGCGUUGUCCGGAAUUAUUGGGCGUAAAGAGCGCGCAGGCGGUUUGCCAAGUCAGAUGUGAAAGAGGCCGGCUUAACCGGCAAGGGUCAUUUGAAACUGACAGACUAGAGUGCAGCAGAGGAUAGCGGAAUUCCCCGGUGUAGUGGUGAAAUGCGUAGAUAUCGGAAGGAACAUCAGUGGCGAAAGCGGCUUCCUGGACCAGCACCGACGUUCAGGCACGAAAGCGUGGGGAGCAAACAGG